rnacentral:rRNA from 1 species
UACGAACUGUGCGAACGUUAUUCGGAAUCACUGGGCUUAAAGGGCGCGUAGGCGGCUCGCGAGGUCGGGGGUGAAAUCCCACGGCUUAACCGUGGAAGGGCCUUCGAUACCGGCGGGCUAGAGGAAGGUAGGGGUGCGCGGAACUUCUGGUGGAGCGGUGAAAUGCGUUGAUAUCAGAAGGAACGCCGGCGGCGAAAGCGGCGCACUGGACCUUUUCUGACGCUGAGGCGCGAAAGCCAGGGGAGCAAACGGG